rnacentral:sRNA from 1 species
UAUCUCUCCGUACGGGGAAGGAUGAGAAGCUUCGACUAAGGUUCGAUUCGAGCGCAGCGAGAAAGCGUUGCCGCAGGCAACGACCCGAAGGGCGAAGCGCGCAGCGCUGAGUAAUCCUUC